AGUGAACGCUGGCGGCAGGCCUAACACAUGCAAGUCGAACGGCAGCACAGUAAGAGCUUGCUCUUACGGGUGGCGAGUGGCGGACGUGUGAGGAAUAUAUCGUACUCUACUUUUUCGUGGGGGAUCACGUAGGUAAACUUACUCUAAUACCGCAUACGCCCUACGGUUGAAAGCAGGGGAUCUUCGCACCUUGCGCGAUUGAAUGAGCCGCUGUGGGAUUAGCUAGUUGGCGGGGUAAUGGCCCACCAAGGCGACGAUCCGUAGCUGGUCUGAGAGGAUGAUAGGCGACACUGGAACUGGGACACGGUCCAGACGCCUACGGGAGGCAGCAGUGGGGAAUAUUGGACAAUGGGCGCAAGCAUGAUCCAGCCAUACCGCGUGGGUGAAGAAGGCCUUCGGGUUGUAAAGCCCUUUUGUUGGGAAAGAACAGCAGCAGGUUAAGACCACGCUGGAGUGACGGUACCCAAAGAAGAAGCACCGGCUAACUUCGUG
rnacentral:rRNA from 1 species